GACGUCCGACAGGGGAGCGCCGGGGGCCGUCGAGCCGGAGGCGCUGAGAGUGCGGGAGAGCCGCAGACCCUCGAACCUGCUCCGGUUAGUACCGGCGAAGGAAGUCGAAGGAGACUCCCG
rnacentral:ncRNA from 2 species